AUUGAACGCUGGCGGCAUGCCUUACACAUGCAAGUCGAACGGCAGGAGGGGAGCAAUCCUGGUGGCGAGUGGCGAACGGGUGAGUAAAGUAUCGGAACGUGCCCAGUCGUGGGGGAUAACGUAGCGAAAGUUACGCUAAUACCGCAUACGAUCUAUGGAUGAAAGCGGGGGAUCGCAAGACCUCGCGCGAUUGGAGCGGCCGAUAUCAGAUUAGGUAGUUGGUGGGGUAAAGGCUCACCAAGCCGACGAUCUGUAGCUGGUCUGAGAGGACGACCAGCCACACUGGGACUGAGACACGGCCCAGACUCCUACGGGAGGCAGCAGUGGGGAAUUUUGGACAAUGGGCGAAAGCCUGAUCCAGCCAUGCCGCGUGCAGGAUGAAGGCCUUCGGGUUGUAAACUGCUUUUGUACGGAACGAAAAGGUUUGGGCUAAUAAGCUGAGCUCAUGACGGUACCGUAAGAAUAAGCACCGGCUAACUACGUGUCAGCCGCCGCGGUAA
rnacentral:rRNA from 1 species